GUCUUCUUCACUCUCACGCAGGAGUCAUCUUCACGCUAUUUCUUGCAGACGUGAACAGAGAGCGAGGUGAUGCUCGUUCGCCCUGAUCGAACGAGCGAGCAAACGAGAGAUGUUUCCGACAGCGAACGCGCAAAGUGAAGGAGUUUGACCGAGAGAGAGGGAAAAUCUGUCCGCGAGCGAACAAAUCUGGUGGGUCCUCCGCGUGCGACGUUUUAGGUUCUCCGCGUGCUAGCAUUUUUGGGUUCUCCGCGUGCGGUUUGUCUGGCAGAUGAGUGAGCACCGUCUUGCUCUGAGCAAAGCAAGCGUCAUGGGUUCUUUAGGACAAGCAGCGAACGAGCGCCUUGGGUUUCUGUGAGCGAGCGGGGUCUCCGCGAGCGAGCGAGUCUGGUGGGUUCUCCGCGAGCGAGCGCCGGAGUGUCCGCAAGCGAGCGCCUGAGCGGCCGUGGUUCCACGUCUUCGAUUGCGAGCGACAGAUCGACCUCUUUCCGCGAACACCAGAUUCCUCAUACAACUAGCAGAAGAUGGGAGAAAGCCGUGGUUACUGACCUACAAACCGAGGAUUAACAUGCCAUAUUUAUUCCAUACAUCUUAUCUACUCUUAGUUGCUUACUUAAUCGUUUUUUUAUUGUAACUUGUAAUUUCUUUAUCUUAUUUUAUUCUAAAUCGCCUUUAAAAAAAAGAUGAUUGAACAUAAUUUGAGUUAUAAAAUUAAAAUAAUACAAUCAGAUUCAUGA
rnacentral:lncRNA from 1 species